rnacentral:rRNA from 1 species
CGCGUAGGCGGAUUAUUAAGUCAGUUGUGAAAGCCCUGGGCUCAACCUGGGAACUGCAUCUGAUACUGGUAGUCUAGAGUUUAAGAGAGGGAAGUGGAAUUCCAGGUGUAGCAGUGAAAUGCGUAGAUAUCUGGAGGAACAUCAGUGGCGAAGGCGACUUCCUGGCUUAAAACUGACGCUGAGGUGCGAAAGCGUGGGUAGCGAACAGGAUUAGAUACCCUGGUAGUCC